UAAAAUAUGCAUAUAAGAUUUUCUUUGUAUAGAGGAAGUUUGCUUUUACCCAGUCAUUCAUUAAUCAGUAUAUAUGUUCUAUGACUGGUGCUGCUCCUCACAUUGGGAAUGUAGUCUAGGCCCUGAUGGGAGCCUACACUGGAGACAAGGAAGCAAACAUUAGCCUAAUUGUGAAAUCAAUUACUUAACUGCAGCUGUGAUGAGACUGCAAAGGAGAAGUCUAGGCUGUGAGGAGAAUAUCUAACACCAGGAGAUCUGGCCUUGGCUGGGGAAGUGAUGGCCAAGCCAAAUGCAGGAGAAAUGUAUUUUUCCCUAAUGCAAUGGAAUCCUGGGAGCUCAUGAAAAGAAGCAGCUUAAUACUUGGUAGCAAGAGAGGACUUGAAGGUUUGGGGCUGGAGCCAGCUUCCAGAUGGGGCCCAGGGGCCAGUCAGGUGUAGACAGAAUCUCUAGGGACCCACACAGAGGCCUUGUCAUAUGUUAAUCUGUCAGGAAAAUGGGCUCCUUACCAAGCCUGACCAGACAGAGGCAGUAAGGCAGGGAGAGAAUCUGGUUAGGCAUUUCCUGAUUGAAGUCAGCGGUGCUGCGUUUGCUGGUGGAGAGAGCUGAAGGGCCAGCUGGGAAAAGCUGGGAGAGACAGGGCCAGGGAAAUCAGGCCAGGCUCUCCCAAACACAUAUAAACUUGGAUGAAGGGUCAGACUCCAGCUUAUUUACAAACAACAGUGCAUUACUUGAAUUCCCCAAAGUAAUACUCCUAGAGGAGUAUUAACUAUUAGCUAGAAGUCCUUCCAGACUGCAAACUUGUCUCAGAGCAAUAGUAAAACAUCUUGUUUCUUCUGUCCAAAAGAAGCAGUUGGAUUGUCUCUUGGCUUUGGCUAGGCAAAGAACAUCCUCCUCGGAACAAACCUGUCUGUUUCCUUAUCCUUUAAAGGUGGAACAACUGUGAAAAAUGAUGGUGUUGGCAUCAGAAAUCAUAAUGGAACUCAGAAAGGAACUGAGAAGGAAGAGGGCUUAAAGAGAAAUGACGAAUUCAAUUAUGGAUAUACCAACACGUAUGUGUUCACAAAAAGUUCAGGAGCAAACACCGAGUAGGAACUGAAAGUGUGGGACAGAUUAUCAGAAGAUCAGUCAGAGUGUGUCCCAUGCAGGAAGAACUGAAGUCAUCCUGCUAUAUUGAGAGCUUUCUUUGGGCACUGUUCUCUGGAUGUGAGUAACAUGGCUGGAAAGAGAAAGACCCUUUCAGCACCUGGCUUUUGAGCAUCCAGGGAGACCCGCACUUAGUUGGAAGACUGGAAUUAAGGUGCAGAGGGAGAGCCACUGAAGGCCAGCUUCUCCAAGUCUGAAGGCACUCCAGGCUCCACUUUAACCAGCUAAGUCGGCAGAAGCCAGCAGAGACAGUAAAAGUUCCUGAAGGUUCAGAUGUCAACAGAACAAUCUCUCCCUGGAGAAUAACCCUUCUGGAAGGUCACAGCAGUUAAGAAGCCAGACUGUCAGUUGGAGUCCUGAUUCCACCAUUUUCUCACUAUAGGACUCUGGGCAAUUUUCUUAACCCCUGAGUUUCCUUAUGGAUAAAAAUGUAAUGGUGUUUAGGUUACGAAGAGUAUGAUGGGUUAAUGUGUAUGAAGUGCUUUUUUUUUUGUACAAUGCUUGUUAUGUAGUAAUUUUAUUAAUAUUAUCAUGCACCCUGUGAGAUUAGAAGUGGGCUAUUACUAUUUCCCCCUUUAAGAUUAUAUUUUAACGUUGCCUCAGCAAGACUAGAGUACACGUGUACUUAUUUAGAGAAUGAUUAGAAAAAGGAGUGUGGCUGCCGCCAGGCCUGGGCAAGUCAGUCUUAGGUAAAUUAAGGCUGAGUGAUAGCAGAUCUUAUGGGCUAGGCCAGAGAGUCUAGAUUAAUCUUGUUGACAGUAAAUAGCCAUUUAAAUGGUCUGAACCGGAGAAUGAUGUGAUUGGUUUUAAACAGACCUGUUUUAAAGCAGACCAGUACAGAACGCAAAUGGGCUAUGCAAGUGUCUCACCCCUUCUAGAGCUGCUCGAGUUUUUCCGCCCUACUUCUACAAGUGGUGCUACCACGGGAUUUGCAUUUGCAACUUGUGGUUUUCCUGAAGCAGAGAAGGGUCCUCAAAACACUGACAUUUCAAGGUCUGCCCCAAGAGGUUGACAGUUGAAUGAAACCUUGAAGCCCCCGUGUCCAUUCUGAAAACCCCCAGCUAGCGACAGCCCUGGAGUAAUUUUAUUUUCCCCCUAAAUUUUAAAACAGUUACCUGUAUCAUCUAAGGCACUUUGAAGAUUUACAUUCCAGUGCUUCCCCCGGCCGCCAGCAAAACCUGGAGUGAAAAAACAAGGGAACUAGAAACAGUGUCAUGUACCCUCCUGGAACCACUGAGGUCCUCCAGUACAAUGGGAAUUUCAUGUAAUGGAGAGGAACUGUUAGCCUGCUUCCAAGUAUUUCACGGGUUUAGGGUCAAGAAGUUUACAAUGAAGAUUUGGGGCUUGGCCAGAUAUACUGUAGAAU